AACGCUGGCGGCGCGCCUAACACAUGCAAGUCGAACGGAGCAUUUGAGCUUGCUCAAAUGCUUAGUGGCGAACGGGUGAGUAACACGUGAGCAAUCUGCCUUCGAGUGGGGGACAACAGUUGGAAACGACUGCUAAUACCGCAUAACACAGUUGAACCGCAUGAUUUAACUGUCAAAGCUUUAUGUGCUGAAAGAUGGCCUCGCGUCUGAUUAGCUAGUUGGUGGGGUAACGGCCCACCAAGGCGACGAUCAGUAGCCGGUCUGAGAGGAUGAACGGCCACAUUGGGACUGAGAUACGGCCCAGACUCCUACGGGAGGCAGCAGUGGGGAAUAUUGGGCAAUGGGCGCAAGCCUGACCCAGCAAUGCCGCGUGAAGGAAGAAGGCUUUCGGGUUGUAAACUUCUUUUGUCAGGGACGAGUAGAAGACGGUACCUGACGAAUAAGCCACGGCUAACUACGUG
rnacentral:rRNA from 1 species